GGGGGUGAAAUGGUUUCGACAGGGAAUCAGAGUGCUCGAAAUGCAUACCGGAGAUUGUUAUACCACUCCGUUAACAAGUAACAAAAAUGCAAAUUAACUGCAAACAACAAUUACUCUUUAGCAGCAUAAGCUGCUAACGUUCAACUUCUUCGGUCCGUCGGAAGAAGAUUGGGCGUCGGAACAGAACGGAUGCAGUAGAACCGAUUGCUGAUAAGUUCUACCCAAGAAAAAUCAGCUGCAGGAAAACAGGUCUGAUUGUCUUUCACUGCUUUCCUUAAGAUAAAGACAACUAAGUAUGUAGAUUUUCGGGUGAUCGGUUUUCUGGACGCGGGUUCGAUUCCCGCCACCUCCACCA
rnacentral:tmRNA from 1 species